rnacentral:tRNA from 1 species
GGCCUAGUGGCGAAGUGGUUAACGCGGCUCUCUGCAAAAGAGCUAUACGGGAGUUCGAUUCUCCCCUAGGCCU